rnacentral:rRNA from 1 species
GAUGAACGCUGGCGGCGUGCCUAAUACAUGCAAGUCGAGCGAACAGAUAAGGAGCUUGCUCCUUUGACGUUAGCGGCGGACGGGUGAGUAACACGUGGGUAACCUACCUAUAAGACUGGGAUAACUUCGGGAAACCGGAGCUAAUACCGGAUAACAUUUGGAACCGCAUGGUUCUAAAGUGAAAGAUGGUUUUGCUAUCACUUAUAGAUGGACCCGCGCCGUAUUAGCUAGUUGGUAAGGUAACGGCUUACCAAGGCAACGAUACGUAGCCGACCUGAGAGGGUGAUCGGCCACACUGGAACUGAGACACGGUCCAGACUCCUACGGGAGGCAGCAGUAGGGAAUCUUCCGCAAUGGGCGAAAGCCUGACGGAGCAACGCCGCGUGAGUGAUGAAGGGUUUCGGCUCGUAAAACUCUGUUAUUAGGGAAGAACAAACGUGUAAGUAACUGUGCGCGUCUUGACGGUACCUAAUCAGAAAGCCACGGCUAACUACGUG